rnacentral:rRNA from 1 species
CCUACGGGUGGCAGCAGUGAGGAAUAUUGGUCAAUGGGCGAGAGCCUGAACCAGCCAAGUAGCGUGAAGGAUGACUGCCCUACGGGUUGUAAACUCCUUUUAUAUGGGAAUAAAGUGAUCCACGUGUGGCUUUUUGUAUGUACCUUAUGAAUAAGGAUCGGCUAACUCCGGGCCAGCAGCCGCGUUAAUACGGAGGAUCCGAGCGUUAUACGGCUUUAUUGGGUUUAAAGGGAGCGUAGGUUGGUUGUUAAGUCAGUUGUGAAAGUUUGCGGCUCAACCGUAAAAUUGCAGUUGAAACUGGCAGUCUUGAGUACAGUAGAGGUAGGCGGAAUUCGUGGUGUAGCGGUGAAAUGCUUAGAUAUCACGAAGAACUCCGGUUGCGAAGGCAGCUUACUGGACUGCAACUGACACUGAGGCUCGAAAGUGUGGGUAUCAAACAGGAUUAGAUACCCGAGUAGUC